rnacentral:lncRNA from 1 species
CAACACCGAAGACAAGGCUAAAGUAUGUGGUACACCUAGUGAAACUUGAGGGGAAACUAAGGACAUUUAGAAACUACCAAGAUAGGCAAUAGAACAUGGGCGAGGUCUCUAAAAUGUAGCAUUUGAUUGGAGUAUAUGAUAGCUUUUGAGUUGUGUAUAUGUGCCUUAUUGCGUAAGUGAAAAGGUAGAGGAGACUAGUCUUCACAUAGACUUAGGUGGUGUUUGUUUUUUUACUUAAUUUUAAAUAGAACCUUAAUGUUUAAUAGUAUUAAAUAUUAGGUUGUUUGUUUUUGUAAUAUUUUAUUUCUAUUAAGUAUUAAAAAGUAAAAAAAAACUAUUAUGUUAUUUUUUUUAUUUAGAAAAAGCCACAUAUUUUAGUUUUUUCUAUUUAGCAAAAAGUUUAUAAUAAGUCAUGAAAAAGUAAAAAAUCAAAUAACCUAAAUUCUAAAACUAAAUGGUUUUCAAUAAAAAGCCAAAAAAACAAACACCACCUUAAUAUUAUUUG